rnacentral:lncRNA from 1 species
CAAAAAACAAAAGUUACAUGAUGUAGAACCCAAUACAAAACAAACAUCCCAAAAAACAAGAACCCAGCAACUUGAUAUCAGAAGGGCAACUUUCAUCUUGACCUUGCAGCAGAAGUGAUAAAGCAGGAGGAAGCUUGCAUGAAAAUCUGGCAGUCCACAAUAGAUGGCAGUAGUGCAGUGAUAUGCAAAACAUCCCUGACAACACAUAGCAGCAAAAUAUAACUAGAAAACCGAAAUUUGAAAACUGCAUAUUUUUCUUCAAUUGUAAACUGACAAACAUAUUUAUCUUUAAUUGAAAACUGACAAACUGAAAAGCUGCAUAUGCUGUCAAAGGAUGAGAAGAGUCACUUGAAGCUUUAACUUUUAUAUUCACUGAACACUUGCACAAACCAAUUGAUGCAAUUGAUGAACUGCCUCAAUAUAUUUUGUAUUUCCACUUGAAGAGAUAACCAGCAGCCCAUUAUAUAUAUGUCAGCAGCAACACAAAUAGCAACUUAACCUCUCACAACUUCGCAAUAGAAACAGAAUGCAGAGCUAACAGUCUACUGAAAGAUCCUGCCCUCAUAAGAAUAUGACGUCCCACAGCUGAACACGUGUAUACCAGUAGCACAACAACAAUGUAACUCCAAUUUCUUCAAUAACACGAAAACAGCUGAAAAUUUGACACCAUCUCACAAAUAAGCAGAUCAAGCACACAGACCCAUACACUCAAACCAUGAUCCAAACCACUAGGCCAAUUCACCAGUCCGAAAACAAGAUAUAAAACUGCUUCGUCACCUUUUUCUUUGGUUGACGGCAGACACAACUUCAAUAAAAGAAAAAUGGAAAACUGACGAUAUCAAGCAUAACAGCUCAGACCAGAGCAAGAGUCCAUGAAGCAAGCGACUGAGCUACCCAUUCAACAAGAUUAUACCAAAUUGUGCUGGAUGCUCUACAAUAUGAAGAGAGUCACAAUAGGCAGAGAUGCACAUCUAACCAGAAUGGACUACUGCAGAAUUGAAUGAGGCAAAUCAUAAUUGAAUGCAACAACUUCCAAAUAACAGAGGGGCCAGAAACUACUUCACCAAAUUCAGACAUGUACUGCACACUAGAGCCAUAGAUCCAAUCCAUAAUCCAAAAUUAUCAUGCGACAUCACCAGUCCAAAAACAAAGGAAAAUUCUUCAAUCUUAAACUUCAACUUCAACUUUGAUAAAAAUAAUAAACUGGAAAACUGAUAAUCGGAGCACAACAUCUAAGACCAUAAAGAGAUUCCAAAAAUUCAAGUGAGAGAGGAGACUGAAUCGGAAAAGAAUUACCAACCCCUACUUCUGCAUCUGAAAGAUAGCCACAUCUCACCAUCAAAUCAAAAGCCCACGAUAUUCACCCUCAAAAUACUCAUAUCACCCAUCCAGAUUCAUAUCCCUAAAGCUCUCUGAACAGUUCAAACAGCGAGAAAAAAGAGAAGCUAGAGAUGAUGAUACCAGAGAUGCCGGAGAAAGAGAUUCCAUAUUCGGAAAUUGAAGUCGGCGCGAACGGCGAAGUAAGACCGGGCAGCGAUGACGAUGACCAAGAAGAGGACUGCUCGGCUUCGAUUCGAGAAGGAUAAGAAGCAGGCGCACCAGGAGACUCCGAUUCGAGGCUAGGGUUUGUGAAAUUGGGGGAAACUGAAAUUGAAAUCUACUGAAUUGAAAAACGCGGAAGCAAGACUAGAUGAACAGAAGCCACAAGGUUCCGGAUCAGAAACCAUGGGCUCUGAUACCAUGAUAGGAUUCAUG